GAUUUGGAGGUUGUGCCCUUGAGGCGUGGCUUCCGGAGCUAACGCGUUAAAUCGACCGCCUGGGGAGUACGGCCGCAAGGUUAAAACUCAAAUGAAUUGACGGGGGCCCGCACAAGCGGUGGAGCAUGUGGUUUAAUUCGAUGCAACGCGAAGAACCUUACCUGGUCUUGACAUCCACAGAACUUGCCAGAGAUGGCUUGGUGCCUUCGGGAACUGUGAGACAGGUGCUGCAUGGCUGUCGUCAGCUCGUGUUGUGAAAUGUUGGGUUAAGUCCCGCAACGAGCGCAACCCUUAUCCUUUGUUGCCAGCGGUUCGGCCGGGAACUCAAAGGAGACUGCCAGUGAUAAACUGGAGGAAGGUGGGGAUGACGUCAAGUCAUCAUGGCCCUUACGACCAGGGCUACACACGUGCUACAAUGGCAUAUACAAAGAGAAGCGACCUCGCGAGAGCAAGCAGACCUCAUAAAGUAUGUCGUAGUCCGGAUUGGAGUCUGCAACUCGACUCCAUGAAGUCGGAAUCGCUAGUAAUCGUAGAUCAGAAUGCUACGGUGAAUACGUUCCCGGGCCUUGUACACUCCGCCC
rnacentral:rRNA from 1 species